GAUUGAACGCUGGCGGCAGGCCUAACACAUGCAAGUCGAGCGGAUGAAGGGAGCUUGCUCCUGGAUUCAGCGGCGGACGGGUGAGUAAUGCCCAGGAAUCUGCCUGGUAGUGGGGGAUAACGUCCGGAAACGGGCGCUAAUACCGCAUACGUCCUGAGGGAGAAAGUGGGGGAUCUUCGGACCUCACGCUAUCAGAUGAGCCUAGGUCGGAUUAGCUAGUUGGUGGGGUAAAGGCCUACCAAGGCGACGAUCCGUAACUGGUCUGAGAGGAUGAUCAGUCACACUGGAACUGAGACACGGUCCAGACUCCUACGGGAGGCAGCGGUGGGGAAUAUUGGACAAUGGGCGAAAGCCUGAUCCAGCCAUGCCGCGUGUGUGAAGAAGGUCUUCGGAUUGUAAAGCACUUUAAGUUGGGAGGAAGGGCAGUAAGUUAAUACCUUGCUGUUUUGACGUUACCAACAGAAUAAGCACCGGCUAACUUCGUG
rnacentral:rRNA from 1 species